rnacentral:lncRNA from 1 species
GCAGAACAUGGCUUCAGAGAAAUAAAAAUUUGAAGAAACUCAAGGAUGUUCACCUAGACUUCCACAUGACAGCUGAAUUACAAACUGUAAGUGACUUCAUUGCUGCCUUUUUUUGAAGCCCACCAACUAUCCAAAGGGAACGUUGAACUAAGUUCAU